GAUGAACGCUAGCGGCAGGCUUAAUACAUGCAAGUCGAGGGGCAGCACGGGUAGCAAUACCUGGUGGCGACCGGCAAACGGGUGCGGAACACGUACGCAACCUUCCCAAAACUGGUGAAUAGCCCUCCGAAAGGAGGAUUAAUACACCGUAACAUAAUGAAGUGGCAUCACUUUAUUAUUAUAGGCUUCGGCCGGUUUUGGAUGGGCGUGCGCCUGAUUAGGUAGUUGGCGGGGUAACGGCCCACCAAGCCUUCGAUCAGUAACUGGUGUGAGAGCACGACCAGUCACACGGGCACUGAGACACGGGCCCGACUCCUACGGGAGGCAGCAGUAAGGAAUAUUGGUCAAUGGACGAAAGUCUGAACCAGCCAUGCCGCGUGAAGGAUUAAGGCCCUCUGGGUUGUAAACUUCUUUUAUCUGGGACGAAAAAAGGGUAUUCUUACUCACUUGACGGUACCAGAGGAAUAAGCACCGGCUAACUCCGUGCCAGCAGCCGCGGUAAUACGG
rnacentral:rRNA from 1 species